rnacentral:rRNA from 1 species
AGUGAACGCUGGCGGUAGGCCUAGCACAUGCAAGUCGAACGGCAGCACAGGAGAGCUUGCUCUCCGGGUGGCGAGUGGCGGACGGGUGAGGAAUACAUCGGAAUCUACUCUGUCGUGGGGGAUAACGUAGGGAAACUUACGCUAAUACCGCAUACGACCUACGGGUGAAAGCAGGGGACCUUCGGGCCUUGCGCGAUUGAAUGAGCCGAUGUCGGAUUAGCUAGUUGGCGGGGUAAAGGCCCACCAAGGCGACGAUCCGUAGCUGGUCUGAGAGGAUGAUCAACCACACUGGAACUGAGACACGGUCCAGACUCCUACGGGAGGCAGCAGUGGGGAAUAUUGGACAAUGGGCGCAAGCCUGAUCCAGCCAUACCGCGUGGGUGAAGAAGGCCUUCGGGUUGUAAAGCCCUUUUGUUGGGAAAGAAAUCCAGCUGGCUAAUACCCGGUUGGGAUGACGGUACCCAAAGAAUAAGCACCGGCUAACUUCGUGCCAGCCGCCGCGGAAA